UACGGGGGGAGCAAGCGUUGUUCGGAUUUACUGGGCGUAAAGGGCGCGUAGGCGGCGCAACAAGUCACUUGUGAAAUCUCCGGGCUUAACCCGGAGCGGCCAAGUGAUACUGUCGUGCUAGAGUGCGGAAGGGGCUACUGGAAUUCUCGGUGUAGCGGUGAAAUGCGUAGAUAUCGUAAGGAAGACCAGUGGCGAAGGCGGGUCUCUGGACAGUUCCUGACGCUGAGGCACGAAGGUCAGGGGAGCAAACGGG
rnacentral:rRNA from 1 species